rnacentral:rRNA from 1 species
UACGUAUGGUGCAAGCGUUAUCCGGAUUUACUGGGUGUAAAGGGAGCGCAGGCGGCGACGCAAGCCAGGAGUGAAAGCCCGGGGCCCAACCCCGGGACUGCUCUUGGAACUGCGCGGCUGGAGUGCAGGAGGGGCAGGCGGAAUUCCUGGUGUAGCGGUGAAAUGCGUAGAUAUCAGGAGGAACACCGGUGGCGAAGGCGGCCUGCUGGACUGCAACUGACGUUGAGGCCCGAAAGCGUGGGGAGCAAACAGG